CCUACGGGAGGCUGCAGUGAGGAAUAUUGGUCAAUGGGCGGGAGCCUGAACCAGCCAAGCCGCGUGAGGGAAGCAGGUACAGCGUAUCGUAAACCUCUUUUGUCAGGGAACAAAGGCGGGGACUAGUCCCCGGCUGAGGGUACCUGAAGAAAAAGCAUCGGCUAACUCCGUGCCAGCAGCCGCGGUACUACGGAGGAUGCGAUCGUUAUCCGGAUUUAUUGGGUUUAAAGGGUGCGCAGGCGGCCUGUUAAGUCAGCGGUAAAAGCCCGGGGCUCAACCCCGGCGAGCCGUUGAAACUGGCGGGCUGGAGUGGGAGAGAAGUACGCGGAAUGCGCGGUGUAGCGGUGAAAUGCUUAGAUAUCGCGCAGAACCCCGAUUGCGAAGGCAGCGUACCGGCUCCACACUGACGCUGAGGCACGAAAGCGUGGGUAUCGAACAGGAUUAGAUACCCCUGGAGUC
rnacentral:rRNA from 1 species